rnacentral:rRNA from 1 species
GACGGAGGGGGCAAGCGUUGUCCGGACUCACUGGGCGUAAAGGGUGCGUAGGCGGUUGCAUGCGUCGGCGCUGAAAUCCGUGGGCUUAACCCACGGGCGCGUGCCGAUACGAUGCGACUUGAGGCUCGGAGAGGGUGGGAGAACUCCUGGAGUAGUGGUGGAAUGCGUAGAGAUCAGGAAGAAUACCUGUGGCGCAAGCGCCCACCUGGCCGAGACCUGACGCUGAGGCACGAAAGCGUGGGGAGCGAACCGG